rnacentral:rRNA from 1 species
GAUAAACGCUGGCGGCGUGCCUAAUGCAUGCAAGUCGAACGGAUAGAAGUCUUCGGAUGACUAUUAGUGGCAAACGGGUGAGUAACACGUGGGGAUCUGCCCAGUAGUGGGGAACAACUCCGAGAAAUCGGAGCUAAUACCGCAUACGGUAGGUAUCGAGGGAUACCAUACUAAAGCCUUCGGGCGCUAUAGGAGGAACCUGCGGCUGAUUAGCUAGUUGGUGGGGUAAAGGCCACCAAGGCGAUGAUCAGUAGCUGGUCUGAGAGGAUGGACAGCCACACUGGGACUGAGAUACGGCCCAGACUCCUACGGGAGGCAGCAGCAAGGAA